rnacentral:rRNA from 1 species
UAGGGAAUCUUCCACAAUGGACGAAAGUCUGAUGGAGCAACGCCGCGUGAGCGAAGAAGGUCUUCGGAUCGUAAAGCUCUGUUGUAAGGGAAGAACAAGUAUCAUUUAACUGAUGGUACCUUGACGGUACCUUACGAGAAAGCCACGGCUAACUACGUGCCAGCAGCCGCGGUAAUACGUAGGUGGCAAGCGUUGUCCGGAAUUAUUGGGCGUAAAGCGCGCGCAGGCGGUCCUUUAAGUCUGAUGUGAAAGCCCACGGCUCAACCGUGGAGGGUCAUUGGAAACUGGAGGACUUGAGUGCAGAAGAGGAAAGCGGAAUUCCACGUGUAGCGGUGAAAUGCGUAGAGAUGUGGAGGAACACCAGUGGCGAAGGCGGCUUUCUGGUCUGUAACUGACGCUGAGGCGCGAAAGCGUGGGGAGCAAACAG